GUGAGUCAUCGAAUCUUUGAACGCACAUUGCGCCCCCUGGCAUUCCGGGGGGCAUGCCUGUCCGAGCGUCAUUGCUAACCCUCCAGCCCGGCUGGUGUGUUGGGCCGUCGUCCCCUCCGGGGGACGGGCCCGAAAGGCAGCGGCGGCGCCGCGUCCGGUCCUCGAGCGUAUGGGGCUUUGUCACGCGCUCUAGUAGGCCCGGCCGGCUUGCUGGCCAACGACCUCACGGUCACCUAACUUCUCUCUUAGGUUGACCUCGGAUCAGGUAGGGAUACCCGCUGAACUUAAGCAUAUCAAUAAGCGGAGGA
rnacentral:misc_RNA from 1 species